rnacentral:lncRNA from 1 species
GUAGUUUCUCACUUGUUUCUGCAAGAAAACCAGGCAUUUUUUUCAUAAAACAUCUAUUUUGGCUAGUAAACAUAAUAAUUUUGUGUUUUGGGUUUUUUGUUGUUGUUUUUUUUUUUUUCCCCCAUGCAGCACCCAGAUGUCCUCACUCAAGAGCUGAGUUGCCAGACUGGGCUUUUCCUGGAGUCAGAUCUGCAGUGGAUAAGAAAUUGUCACUACCACUGGUGACAUGUCAUCAGGAGAUACAGGAAUAACAGAUGGGCAGCAGUGAGAUAGCAGGAACUAACUUCUUUAAAAGACUGUGUUGACAUCACCAACUAUGAGACUAGAGGUAGAAUGACCCCCAGAAGGGAAUCCAAUCCGCUCAGCUCUUUCUGACUCACAGGUGUUUUGUCUUAUUUAUUUUUGUACAUAGAUCAUAUUGGAUUUAAGAUUGUUUGAAGUUUUAAAACAGCUAUGUUAGAAUUAAUGGAAACUAUUAAUAAGGAUUAGGAAAAGGAUGAAUGGAUUUAGCCACUAACUUAAGUGUUUUAAAUGAUACCACUAAAAUGAUAACUAGGAUUGCUGAUGUAACUGGUGUAGCUGAAUGCUAUUAAUAAGAGUCAAGAAUCCUUGAUUGCAAUGUGAGAACAAUGGAUUAUGAUGGUUUGAUGUCCAGCUGAUGGGUCUGACUUUCUAAAUGAAGAAUGAUUGAUUAUGACUCUUCAAAAGUAUGGUUCAUUAUCAGCAUAUCUAGGCAACUCUUGACAC